UUUGUGUUAUACAAGGAAUCGUAAAGCCGACAAUGUCAUUAACUUUCUAUGUUGCUUCUCGUGUGAUUCCUAUUUUAACCAUAGGAGGUGUUACGUGUUAUUUCAUGUCUAAGACUGAUGACAUGACAAUAGAGAGUCGUAAGCAGCAAGGGUAUGAGUUCAACCAUGUGACUGCUAACUAUAGGAGACAAUUUAUGGAAAAAGCACAAAAGAAAGACUCAGAAGAAACAUCAAGUUGACAAAGUAUCACAUCCAUUUGUCGUCAGCAUAGGAUUUGGUAUCAUGUUCCAGAUGCUUGUAAAACGUUUCUACUUCUUGAGGAUAGCAAAAGGACCUGAAAUGUGAUUCAUAUGCAUUUGGCAUCAUCCUGUCUGUAAAUUGUGGAAUAUGGGGGCCUUGGACUUCAUUGACUUCAAAAAUCAUCUCUACAAUGAUUCAGAUGACAAGAAAGGACAUGACCGCUUCAUGUCUCUUACUUUGUGUUACUUUAUUUACAUUGAAGAACAUUUAUGAUAUGUUUCCAUUUUGCCAAAAUGUAUUUAUACUGUUUUGUAAGAUGAAGUAAUUAAAGAGUUUAAUCGAAGAGUGA